rnacentral:rRNA from 1 species
UCAAGUUACAAAGAGCGCAGGGCGAAUGCCUUGGCACCAUGAGCCGAAGAAGGACGUGAUAAGCUGCGAAAAGCUACGUGUAGGUGCAAAUAACCAUUAAAGCGUAGAUAUCCGAAUGGGGAAACCUAAUCAGGGUAAAUUCCUGAUUACUCCUAGAUGAAUACAUAGUCUAGGUAGAGGGAACGGGGGGAAUUGAAACAUCUUAGUACCCCUAGGAAAAGAAAUCAACCGAGAUUCCGUAAGUAGUGGCGAGCGAAAGCGGAAGAGGCCAAACCGAUUUACUUCGGUAAAUCGGGGUUCGGACUGAAUAAUCUAGAACAAGAGUUAGCAGAAUGAGCGGAUGGAAAGCCGAGACCAUAGAACGUAAUAGUCGUGUAAGCGAAAACUCAAGUUCAGAGUCAGUAUCCAGAGUAAUGUAGGACACGAGGAAUCCUGCAGGAAGACGGGGGGACCACCCUCCAAGCCUAAAUACUCCAUGGUGACCGAUAGUGAAUAGUACAGUGAUGGAAAGGUGAAAAGAACCCCGGGAGGGGAGUGAAAGAGAACCUGAAACCCUGUGUUUACAAGCAGUCGGAGCACGUUAAUGUGCAACGGCGUACUUUUUGUAGAACGGUCCGACGAGUUACGAUUACUAGCAAGGUUAAGUAGUAGAGCUAUGAAGCCGAAGGGAAACCGAGUAUGAAUAGUGCGAGUAGUUAGUAGUUGUAGACCCGAAACCAGGCGACCUAUCCAUGAGCAGCGUGAAGGUAAGGUAAAGCUUACUGGAGGCGCGAACCCGUAUCUGUUGAAAAAGGUUGGGAUGACUUGUGGAUAGCGGAGAAAUUCCAAUCGAGCUUGGAUAUAGCUGGUUCUCCCCGAAAUAGCUUUAGGGCUAGCCUUAUUAUAGAGUUUAUAGGGGGUAGAGCACUGAAUGGCAAAGGGCCCUUCCCAGGGUACCAAUGCUUAUCAAACUCCGAAUACCUAUAAAUAUGAAUAGGAGUGAGACUAUGACAGAUAAGUGCCGUAGUCGAGAGGGAAACAACCCAGACCGUCAGCUAAGGUCCCAAAGUUACAGUUAAGUGGGAAAGGAUGUGGAUUUGCUAAGACAGCUAGGAUGUUGGCUUAGAAGCAGCAACUCAUUUAAAGAGUGCGUAAUAGCUCACUAGUCGAGUGAGUCUGCGCCGAAAAUUUAACGGGGCUAAACUGUACACCGAAGCUACGGAUCGAAAGAUGGUAGGGGAGCGUUCUGUAGGCCGUUGAAGCAUGAUCGAAAGGACAUGUGGAGGUAUCAGAAGUGAGAAUGUCGGAAUAAGUAGCGAGAGCAAAGUGAGAAUCUUUGCCGUCGAAAAUCUAAGGUUUCCUGGGCAAGGCUCGUCCUCCCAGGGUAAGUCGGGACCUAAGGCGAGGCCAAGAGGCGUAGUCGAUGGACAGCAGGUUUAAAUUCCUGCACUGCAAUGUUGCGUUAUUAGAGACGCAGGGACACGGAAGGAUAAGAUCGCAGACAGCUGGAAUAGUCUGUGGAAAGCACGAAACGAAGGACUUAGUAAAGUACGGGUCCUAAUAGGAGAGUGCCGAAGGAGGGAAAAUAAGUACCGAAGGAUCUGAAUUCAACUGGCGAGAAAAGCUGCUAUCAAGUAACAGUGCACCCGUACCGCAAACCGACACAGGUAGAUGAGGAGAGAAUCCUAAGACGAUCGGGAGAAUCAUCGUUAAGGAACUAGGCAAAUUAACCCCGUAAGUUAGCGAUAAGGGGAGCCAGCUAGCGCUGGCCGCAGAGAAAUGGCCCGAGCAACUGUUUAGCAAAAACACAGGUCUCCGCAAACACGAAAGUGGAAGUAUGGGGGCUGACGCCUGCCCGGUGCUGGAAGGUCAAGGGGAAGUGUUAGAGAAUACUCGAAGCACAGAACUUAAGCCCCAGUGAACGGCGGCCGUAACUAUAACGGUCCUAAGGUAGCGAAAUUCCUUGUCAGGUAAG